AGUGAACGCUGGCGGUAGGCCUAACACAUGCAAGUCGAACGGCAGCACAGUAAGAGCUUGCUCUUACGGGUGGCGAGUGGCGGACGGGUGCGGAAUACAUCGGAAUCUACUUUUUCGUGGGGGAUAACGUAGGGAAACUUACGCUAAUACCGCAUACGCCCUACGGGUGAAAGCAGGGGAUCUUCUGACCUUGCGCGAUUGAAUGAGCCGAUGUCGGAUUAGCUAGUUGGCGGGGUAAAGGCCCACCAAGGCGACGAUCCGUAGCUGGUCUGAGAGGAUGAUCAGCCACACUGGAACUGAGACACGGUCCAGACUCCUACGGGAGGCAGCAGUGGGGAAUAUUGGACAAUGGGCGCAAGCCUGAUCCAGCCAUACCGCGUGGGUGAAGAAGGCCUUCGGGUUGUAAAGCCCUUUUGUUGGGAAAGAAAAGCAGCAGGUUAAUACCCCGCUGUUCUGACGGUACCCAAAGAAUAAGCACCGGCUAACUUCGUG
rnacentral:rRNA from 1 species